AGAGUUUGAUCAUGGCUCAGAUUGAACGCUGGCGGCAGGCCUAACACAUGCAAGUCGAACGGUAACAGGAAGCAGCUUGCUGCUUUGCUGACGAGUGGCGGACGGGUGAGUAAUGUCUGGGAAACUGCCUGAUGGAGGGGGAUAACUAAUGGAAACGGUGGCUAAUACCGCAUAACGUCGCAAGACCAAAGAGGGGGACCUUCGGGCCUCUUGCCAUCAGAUGUGCCCAGAUGGGAUUAGCUUGUUGGUGAGGUAACGGCUCACCAAGGCGACGAUCCCUAGCUGGUCUGAGAGGAUGACCAGCCACACUGGAACUGAGACACGGUCCAGACUCCUACGGGAGGCAGCAGUGGGGAAUAUUGCACAAUGGGCGCAAGCCUGAUGCAGCCAUGCCGCGUGUAUGAAGAAGGCCUUCGGGUUGUAAAGUACUUUCAGCGGGGAGGAAGGUGUUGUGGUUAAUAACCGCAGCAAUUGACGUUACCCGCAGAAGAAGCACCGGCUAACUCCGUGCCAGCAGCCGCGGUAAUACGGAGGGUGCAAGCGUUAAUCGGAAUUACUGGGCGUAAAGCGCACGCAGGCGGUCUGUCAAGUCGGAUGUGAAAUCCCCGGGCUCAACCUGGGAACUGCAUUCGAAACUGGCAGGCUUGAGUCUUGUAGAGGGGGGUAGAAUUCCAGGUGUAGCGGUGAAAUGCGUAGAGAUCUGGAGGAAUACCGGUGGCGAAGGCGGCCCCCUGGACAAAGACUGACGCUCAGGUGCGAAAGCGUGGGGAGCAAACAGGAUUAGAUACCCUGGUAGUCCACGCCGUAAACGAUGUCUACUUGGAGGUUGUGCCCUUGAGGCGUGGCUUCCGGAGCUAACGCGUUAAGUAGACCGCCUGGGGAGUACGGCCGCAAGGUUAAAACUCAAAUGAAUUGACGGGGGCCCGCACAAGCGGUGGAGCAUGUGGUUUAAUUCGAUGCAACGCGAAGAACCUUACCUGGUCUUGACAUCCACAGAAGAAUCCAGAGAUGGAUUUGUGCCUUCGGGAACUGUGAGACAGGUGCUGCAUGGCUGUCGUCAGCUCGUGUUGUGAAAUGUUGGGUUAAGUCCCGCAACGAGCGCAACCCUUAUCCUUUGUUGCCAGCGGUUAGGCCGGGAACUCAAAGGAGACUGCCAGUGAUAAACUGGAGGAAGGUGGGGAUGACGUCAAGUCAUCAUGGCCCUUACGACCAGGGCUACACACGUGCUACAAUGGCGCAUACAAAGAGAAGCGACCUCGCGAGAGCAAGCGGACCUCAUAAAGUGCGUCGUAGUCCGGAUUGGAGUCUGCAACUCGACUCCAUGAAGUCGGAAUCGCUAGUAAUCGUGGAUCAGAAUGCCACGGUGAAUACGUUCCCGGGCCUUGUACACACCGCCCGUCACACCAUGGGAGUGGGUUGCAAAAGAAGUAGGUAGCUUAACCUUCGGGAGGGCGCUUACCACUUUGUGAUUCAUGACUGGGGUGAAGUCGUAACAAGGUAACCGUAGGGGAACCUGCGGUUGGAUCACCU
rnacentral:rRNA from 1 species